rnacentral:tRNA from 1 species
GCCGUCCUAGCUCAGUUGGGAGAGCGUGAGACUGAAGAUCUUAAGGUCCCGUGUUCAAUCCACGGGGACGGCA